CGAAGCGACGUCAAAGCGUAUACAAAGUCGAGUCGGUUUAAGGAUACGUUCGUUGGGUAGGGGAGCGUUCUGUAAGCCUGCGAAGGUGGCCUGUGAGGGUUGCUGGAGGUAUCAGAAGUGCGAAUGCUGACAUAAGUAACGAUAAAGCGGGUGAAAAGCCCGCUCGCCGGAAGACCAAGGGUUCCUGUCCAACGUUAAUCGGGGCAGGGUGAGUCGACCCCUAAGGCGAGGCCGAAAGGCGUAGUCGAUGGGAAACGGGUUAAUAUUCCCGUACUUGGUGUUACUGCGAAGGGGGGACGGAGAAGGCUAUGUUGGCCGGGCGACGGUUGUCCCGGUUUAAGCGUGUAGGUGUGUGUUCCAGGUAAAUCCGGUUCACUUUAACACUGAGGCGUGACGACGAGGCACUACGGUGCUGAAGCAACAAAUGCCCUGCUUCCAGGAAAAGCCUCUAAGCAUCAGGUAACAUCAAAUCGUACCCCAAACCGACACAGGUGGUCAGGUAGAGAAUACCAAGGCGCUUGAGAGAACUCGGGUGAAGGAACUAGGCAAAAUGGUGCCGUAACUUCGGGAGAAGGCACGCUGACACGUAGGUGAAGUGAUUUACUCACGGAGCUGAAGUCAGUCGAAGAUACCAGCUGGCUGCAACUGUUUAUUAAAAACACAGCACUGUGCAAACACGAAAGUGGACGUAUACGGUGUGACGCCUGCCCGGUGCCGGAAGGUUAAUUGAUGGGGUCAGCGCAAGCGAAGCUCCUGAUCGAAGCCCCGGUAAACGGCGGCCGUAACUAUAACGGUCCUAAGGUAGCGAAAUUCCUUGUCGGGUAAGUUCCGACCUGCACGAAUGGCGUAAUGAUGGCCAGGCUGUCUCCACCCGAGACUCAGUGAAAUUGAACUCGCUGUGAAGAUGCAGUGUACCCGCGGCAAGACGGAAAGACCCCGUGAACCUUUACUAUAGCUUGACACUGAACAUUGAGCCUUGAUGUGUAGGAUAGGUGGGAGGCUUUGAAGCGUGGACGCCAGUCUGCGUGGAGCCGACCUUGAAAUACCACCCUUUAAUGUUUGAUGUUCUAACGUGGACCCGUAAUCCGGGUUGCGGACAGUGUCUGGUGGGUAGUUUGACUGGGGCGGUCUCCUCCUAAAGAGUAACGGAGGAGCACGAAGGUUGGCUAAUCCUGGUCGGACAUCAGGAGGUUAGUGCAAUGGCAUAAGCCAGCUUGACUGCGAGCGUGACGGCGCGAGCAGGUGCGAAAGCAGGUCAUAGUGAUCCGGUGGUUCUGAAUGGAAGGGCCAUCGCUCAACGGAUAAAAGGUACUCCGGGGAUAACAGGCUGAUACCGCCCAAGAGUUCAUAUCGACGGCGGUGUUUGGCACCUCGAUGUCGGCUCAUCACAUCCUGGGGCUGAAGUAGGUCCCAAGGGUAUGGCUGUUCGCCAUUUAAAGUGGUACGCGAGCUGGGUUUAGAACGUCGUGAGACAGUUCGGUCCCUAUCUGCCGUGGGCGCUGGAGAACUGAGGGGGGCUGCUCCUAGUACGAGAGGACCGGAGUGGACGCAUCACUGGUGUUCGGGUUGUCAUGCCAAUGGCACUGCCCGGUAGCUAAAUGCGGAAGAGAUAAGUGCUGAAAGCAUCUAAGCACGAAACUUGCCCCGAGAUGAGUUCUCCCUGAGACUUAGAGUCUCCUGAAGGAACGUUGAAGACGACGACGUUGAUAGGCCGGGUGUGUAAGCGCAGCGAUGCGUUGAGCUAACCGGUACUAAUGAACCGUGAGGCUUAACCUUACA
rnacentral:rRNA from 1 species